rnacentral:rRNA from 1 species
UACAGAGGGUGCAAGCGUUGUUCGGAAUUAUUGGGCGUAAAGGGCGCGUAGGCGGCUUGGCAAGUGGAUGGUGAAAUCCCUCGGCUUAACCGAGGAACUGCCGUCCAAACUGCUUCGCUUGAGACCGGGAGAGGUGAGUGGAAUUCCCAGUGUAGCGGUGAAAUGCGUAGAUAUUGGGGAGGAACACCAGUGGCGAAGGCGGCUCACUGGACCGGUACUGACGCUGAUGCGCGAAAGCGUGGGGAGCAAACGGG